AAAGGAAUUGACGGGGGCCCGCACAAGCGGUGGAGCAUGUGGUUUAAUUCGAUGCUACGCGAAAAACCUUACCUAGACUUGACAUCCUGUGCUACCCUGUGAAAGCAGGGGUUCCCGCAAGGGACGCAGUGACAGGUGCUGCAUGGCUGUCGUCAGCUCGUGUUGUGAGAUGUUGGGUUAAGUCCCGCAACGAGCGCAACCCUCGCCGUUAGUUACCAUCAUUAAGUUGGGCACUCUAACGGAACCGCUUGGCUAUAAGCCAGAGGAAGGUGGGGAUGACGUCAAGUCCUCAUGGCCUUUAUGUCUAGGGCUACACACGUGCUACAAUGGGAAGGACAAAGCGCUGCUACUUCGCGAGAAGAUGCUAAUCGCAAAAACCUUUCCUCAGUUCGGAUUGGAGUCUGCAACUCGACUCCAUGAAGCUGGAAUCGCUAGUAAUCGUGGAUCAGCACGCCACGGUGAAUACGUUCCCGGGCCUUGUACACACCGCCCGU
rnacentral:rRNA from 1 species